rnacentral:tRNA from 1 species
GCGGACGUGGCGGAACUGGUAGACGCGCAGCCUUGAGGAGGCUGUGGGAGCAAUCCUGUGGAGGUUCAAGUCCUCUCGUCCGCA